rnacentral:rRNA from 1 species
UACGUAGGGUGCGAGCGUUGUCCGGAAUUAUUGGGCGUAAAGAGCUCGUAGGCGGUGUGUCGCGUCGGUCGUGAAAACUUGGGGCUUAACCCUGAGCUUGCGGUCGAUACGGGCAUCACUGGAGUUCGGCAGGGGAGACUGGAAUUCCUGGUGUAGCGGUGAAAUGCGUAGAUAUCGGAAGGAACACCAGUGGCGAAGGCGGCUACCUGGCAUGAUACUGGCACUGAGGCGCGAAAGCGUGGGGAGCAACAG